UUAUUCGACAGCUCACGGAUUUUAAAUAAAUUUUCAUUAAAACCCCGAAACCGAUUACUUAACCUUAAAAGUCAAUGUACAACAAACAACGAUCAACCUUUUCGAACAAAGCAUACGGAGUGGCAGUAUAAUAACAAUUAUCGGAAAUAAGCGAAAGCAGUAACAAAAAAUUGGUAUAUACCGAUGAAGACAGAUUGUUGUUUGUUAUUCGAAAUUCGGAGGAUCAAACUUGUUGGAGUUAUUACCAUGUACGUCACUCUCCUAAGCGAAUAAUUGUACUUUCGGAUCUUGGGAAUAACGAACAAUUCCAAUCGAGAACAAUGUUUUCUUACAAAAGUACGAAAAUGCAACCAGCAACACGCACGCUAGACGGGCUAGUUAAUUGACUUUUGAAAAUGUAUUGAAAUGUCGUAAUAAUAAAGCAGGAUUCUUUCUAACGUU